AGAUGCUGAGGAGUCCCAUACCAGGACGAAACGGCCGUCCAGUGC
rfam:Schistosoma margrebowiei strain Zambia genome assembly, scaffold: SMRZ_scaffold0002211